rnacentral:misc_RNA from 1 species
CCAAUAGCGUAUAUUAAAGUUGUUGCAGUUAAAAAGCUCGUAGUUGAAUUUCGGGAUCAAGUCGUCGGUCGUGCCUCGGUACGCACUGGUGACAUUGGUUUCUCCCUUCUGAAGAACCUUGAUGUCAUUAAUUUGGUGUCUUGGGGAAUCAGGACUGUUACUUUGAAAAAAUUAGAGUGUUUAAAGCAGGCUCACGCUUGAAUACAUUAGCAUGGAAUAAUGAAAUAGGACGUUUGAUUCUAUUUUGUUGGUUUCUAGGAUCGACGUAAUGAUUAAUAGGGAUAGUUGGGAGCAUUAGUAUUCAAUUGUCAGAGGUGAAAUUCUUGGAUUUAUUGAAGACUAACUACUGCGAAAGCAUUUGCCAAGGAUGUUUUCAUUAAUCAAGAACGAAAGUUAGGGGAUCGAAGACGAUCAGAUACCGUCGUAGUCUUAACCAUAAACUAUGCCGACUAGGGAUCGGAUGAUGUUAAUUUUUUAAUGACUCAUUCGGCGCCUUACG